rnacentral:rRNA from 1 species
GACGAACGCUGGCGGCGUGCUUAACACAUGCGAGUCGAACGGAAAGGCCCUGCUUGCAGGGUACUCGAGUGGCGAACGGGUGAGUAACACGUGGGUGAUCUGCCCUGCACUUCGGGAUAAGCCUGGGAAACUGGGUCUAAUACCGGAUAGGAGCCAUUUUUAGUGUGAUGGUUGGAAAGUUUUUUCGGUGUAGGAUGAGCUCGCGGCCUAUCAGCUUGUUGGUGGGGUAAUGGCCUACCAAGGCGGCGACGGGUAGCCGGCCUGAGAGGGUGGACGGCCACAUUGGGACUGAGAUACGGCCCAGACUCCUACGGGAGGCAGCAGGGGGGAAUAUUGCACAAUGGGCGCAAGCCUGAUGCAGCGACGCCGCGUGGGGGAUGACGGCCUUCGGGUUGUAAACUCCUUUCGCUAGGGACGAAGCUUUUUGUGACGGUACCUAGAUAAGAAGCACCGGCUAACUACGCG